ACUCAAAUGAAUUGACGGGGGCCCGCACAAGCAGCGGAGCGUGUGGUUUAAUUCGACGCAACGCGAAGAACCUUACCAGGGUUUGACAUCACGCUGCAAAGUUGAGAAAUCAGCUCCUCCCGCAAGGGACGGCGUGACAGAUGCUGCAUGGCUGUCGUCAGCUCGUGCCGUGAGGUGUUGGGUUAAGUCCCGCAACGAGCGCAACCCUCGGGGCUAGUUACCGUGUCUAGCCCGACUGCCGCGACAAACGCGGAGGAAGGUGGGGAUGAUGUCAAGUCAGCACGGCUCUUACAUCCUGGGCGACACACACGCUACAAUGGACGCGACAACAGGAGGCAGUGCCGCAAGGCGAAGCUAAUCCUCCAAAGGCGUCCUCAGUUCAGAUCGGCGUCUGCAACCCGACGCCGUGAAGGCGGAGUUGCUAGUAACCGCGGGUCAGCACACCGCGGUGAAUACGUUCCCGGGCCUUGCACACACCGCCCGU
rnacentral:rRNA from 1 species